rnacentral:lncRNA from 1 species
AGAUAUUUAAAGUAUAUCCCAAGAGACAUUUCUGUUUUCUUUUGUAAAAAAUUUAAGAUUGAGCCAAACAAAUAGAUGCUGUAGAAGAUAUUUGUCUUGCUAAGAGUGGUAUAUUAUCUUAGGAAGUGAAAAAUGAUCUUAUUUAGUAGUAUAUGUAGGAAUCUAGCUUUUGGUUUGUAUAUAUAUAUGAACGAUAGUCGACGAUUGCGAACGGAUGCAACGAUGCGAAACGUUUCCAAUCCUGUCAGCAAUACUGAUAACGUUUCUGGAAAUAGUUUUUCAAUUUUCCCAAAGUACUCCAAGAACUGUUUGCAUAUAUUCUAUCACAUCAGAUUUUUUUUCGGAUGAGUAACAAUGGCCUUCAAUCGAAGAGAAUAAAGUAAAAUUUCGAAUCUCCUAAAU